rnacentral:rRNA from 1 species
UACGGGGGGGGCAAGCGUUGUUCGGAAUUACUGGGCGUAAAGGGUCUGUAGGUGGCCAACUAAGUCAGACGUGAAAUCCCUCAGCUUAACUGGGGAACUGCGUCUGAGACUGGAUGGCUUGAGUGCAGGAGAGGAACGCGGAAUUCCAGGUGUAGCGGUGAAAUGCGUAGAUAUCUGGAGGAAUACCGAUGGCGAAGGCAGGUCUCUGGGCUGACACUGACGCUCAUGCACGAAAGCGUGGGGAGCAAACAGG